GUAAGGAAUAUUGGACAAUGGGGGAAACCCUGAUCCAGCCAUGCCGCGUGAGUGAAGAAGGCCUUCGGGUUGUAAAGCUCUUUCAGAUGUGAAGAUGAUGACGGUAACAUCAGAAGAAGCUCCGGCUAACUUCGUGCCAGCAGCCGCGGUAAUACGAAGGGAGCGAGCGUUGUUCGGAAUCACUGGGCGUAAAGAGUGCGUAGGCGGUUAUACAAGUCAGGAGUGAAAUCCCAGGGCUCAACCCUGGAAUUGCUUUUGAAACUGUAUAGCUAGAGUCCCGGAGGGGUUAAUGGAAUUCCGAGUGUAGAGGUGAAAUUCGCAGAUAUUCGGAGGAACACCAGUGGCGAAGGCGGCUCACUGGCUCGAUACUGACGCUGAGGUGCGAAAGCGUGGGGAGCAAACAGGAUUAGAAACCCGGGUAGUCC
rnacentral:rRNA from 1 species